rnacentral:rRNA from 1 species
GAACCAGCGGAGGGAUCAUUACCGAGUUUUCAACUCCCUAACCCUUCUGUG